GUGUGUAGGCGGAUCGUUAAGUGCCUUGUGAAAUCCACGGCUCAACCGUGGAACUGCUGGGCAUACUGGCGAUCUUGAGCUAUCUAGGGGCGACUGGAACAGACGGUGGAGCGGUGAAAUGCGUAGAUAUCGUCUGGAACGCCAAAGGUGAAAACAGGUCGCUGGGGAUAUGCUGACGCUGAGACACGAAAGCCAGGGGAGCAAACGGGAUUAGAUACCCCGGUAGUCCUGGCCCUAAACGAUGUCCACUAGAUCGCAGCGUCACUGACGGCGUUGUGGUCGAAGCAAAAGUGAUAAGUGGACCGCCUGGGAAGUACGGUCGCAAGGCUAAAACUCAAAGGAAUUGACGGGGGCUCACACAAGCGGUGGAGCAUGUGGUUCAAUUCGAAGCAACGCGCAGAACCUUACCUGGGCUUGACAUGCUUGGAUUAUCCCCGUGAAAGCGGGGUAGGCCCUUCGGGGUACAACAAGUACAGGUGCUGCAUGGCUGUCGUCAGCUCGUGUCGUGAGAUGUCGGGUUAAGUCCCAUAACGAGCGAAACCUUUGCCCUUAGUUGCCAGCGGGUUAUGCCGGGAACUCUAAGGGGACUGCCGGUGUCAAACCGGAGGAAGGUGGAGAUGACGUCAAGUCCUCAUGGCCUUUAUGCCCAGGGCUACACACGUGCUACAAUGGCGUCGACAAAGCGAGCCGAAAACGCGAGUUUGAGGAAAUCGCAUAAAUGACGCCCCAGUUCAGAUCGGAGGCUGCAACUCGCCUCCGUGAAGUUGGAAUCGCUAGUAAUCGCGGAUCAGCUACGCCGCGGUGAAUGUGUUCCUGAGCCUUGUACACACCGCCCGUCAAGUCAUGGGAGCCGGAAAUGGCCGAAGUCGCUGCGAUACAGCGGUGCCUACGCCAGGUUCGGUGACUGGGACUAAGUCGUAACAAGGUAGC
rnacentral:rRNA from 1 species